GUUAAUAAAAUAUAUAAUAAUAAAUAAAUAUGAAAAUUUAAUGAGAAGGAUUGAGAAAGUAUGGGUGGAAAGAGAAUGCCGGAUAAAUAAAUGAUCACGAUGAAAAGAACAAUACGAAGUGAAAUAAUAAUAAUAAUAAUAAUGAUGAUGAUGUUUAUUUUAUAUGUAUUUUUAUUAAAUUGUAACAUUAUAAAAAUUUAUCUUUAUAUUUUUUUAUUAUUAAAUAUAAAUUUGAAGUUUAAAAUAU
rnacentral:lncRNA from 1 species